rnacentral:rRNA from 1 species
UACAGAGGUCCCAAGCGUUGUUCGGAUUUACUGGGCGUAAAGGGUGCGUAGGCGGUCGGGUAAGUCUGAUGUGAAAUCUCAGAGCUCAACUCUGAAACUGCAUUGGAUACUAUUCGGCUUGAGGUCUGGAGGGGGGACUGGAAUUCUCGGUGUAGCAGUGAAAUGCGUAGAGAUGUGGAGGAAUACCGAUGGCGAAGGCAGCCCCCUGGGCUAAGAUUGACGCUCAUGCACGAAAGCGUGGGGAGCAAACAGG